GUGAACGCUGGCGGUAGGCCUAACACAUGCAAGUCGCACGGCAGCACAGUAAGAGCUUGCUCUUACGGGUGGCGAGUGGCGGACGGGUGAGGAAUACAUCGGAAUCUAUUUUUUCGUGGGGGAUAACGUAGGGAAACUUACGCUAAUACCGCAUACGACCUACGGGUGAAAGCAGGGGAUCUUCGGACCUUGCGCGAUUGAAUGAGCCGAUGUCGGAUUAGCUAGUUGGCGGGGUAAAGGCCCACCAAGGCGACGAUCCGUAGCUGGUCUGAGAGGAUGAUCAGCCACACUGGAACUGAGACACGGUCCAGACUCCUACGGGAGGCAGCAGUGGGGAAUAUUGGACAAUGGGCGCAAGCCUGAUCCAGCCAUACCGCGUGGGUGAAGAAGGCCUUCGGGUUGUAAAGCCCUUUUGUUGGGAAAGAAAAGCAGCAGGUUAAUACCCCGCUGUUCUGACGGUACCCAAAGAAUAAGCACCGGCUAACUUCGUG
rnacentral:rRNA from 1 species